GGAUGUGAGGAAGAUCUGGCUAUGACAGCUAUCACCCCAUUGAUCACCAGGGUUGAUUCAGCUGAUCUGGCUGGCUAGGCUUGUGUCCCCUUCCUCCCUCACCGCUCCAAGCGCACGACAGAAGAGGACCGGUCUUCGUUCAAGGGUAUACAAGUAGCUGCGCUCCCCUGCUAGAACCUCCAAACAAGCUCUCAAAGAGAUAAACAAGCAAAGAAUUUUUUUCAAAAAGCACUUACUUGACUUGUACAG
rnacentral:snRNA from 1 species